UACGGAGAAGGCAAGCGUUACCCGGAUUCACUGGGCGUAAAGGGUGCGUAGGCGGUUAUAUUAGUCUUGCGUUAAAUCUUCGGGCUCAACCCGAAGCUCGCGUAGGAAACGGUAUAACUAGAGGAAGUGAGAGGUGUGCGGAACUCAAGGUGUAGGGGUGAAAUCCGUUGAUACCUUGGGGAACACCAAAUGCGAAGGCAGCACACUGGCACUUUCCUGACGCUGAGGCACGAAAGCGUGGGUAGCGAACGGG
rnacentral:misc_RNA from 1 species